UCACCAUCACCGGGAGACGCAUAGAAAGCCAGGGAAGAGUGGAAACUUACAAAGAGCUCUGACCUGGAGUUGGCAGGGAUAAACAACCAGAAGACUAUGGACUUUUAUCUCAUCAGUGGAAAGAGACUACCCGACCAUGCCACGGCACACAGCGGGCAACACCCCAGUACACACACCAGGCUUUGCCUGGGCUCUGCCACCCACACACUGACAUGGGCGAGAGUAUUCACAGAGCUGCUUUGAGAGCUUGUUUGCUUUAGAAUCUUAUAUAAGUUUUUAAAUAACGGAAAUGUUCAUUUUUGCCAAAAUAAACCUCCCAUCUUCAGAA